AUGAAAACCUGUCUGCAUCUCAGGAGGUUUCAGCUCUUUGUUUCCUGUGCUUGCUGGGCCCCAAACAGCCGGCGCUUUGUCACCCUGGGUCCCUACAGCACGGGGGAAAAAAGGAUCCCGAGUGUCGGAGAGCCUGACGCCAAUCGGGAAUACAGAAAGACUUCUGCGUGCCCACCGCUGCUCCAAACGUUUUCUUCUGCCAGCUGUAAGGAUGGAGACGAGGGGGGCAAAGUCACUGAUGAGCGAGCUGUUGAAACGUCACCCCGAAACCCGCCGCAAGCUCGGAGGAAUCGGAGCACAGAGGCGCAUCCCCUGCCCCUGUCGGCCGGCAGGGCGACGCGUUGCAGAGGAGCAGCAAAGCGGAGAGCAGGAGGCGUUCCCCACCUCUCACCUACCCGCGCUGCUUCCCGUCCAGCGAGCUCGAACGCCUUCCUCCCGUCUUCUGCGUCGGUGCUCGGCCUUUUCCGCCUCGCCCUCCUCCAGACCACACGAAUAUUGAAAUAUUCCUCGCGCCCUGCCCGCCUGGUGCCCUCCCGGCCACGCGAGGCAUCGCUCGACAAACCCCCCAGGGUGUUCAGGAGCGACGUGGGAUGCAGCCAGGGGAUUUCGCUGACUUAUUUCUACAUUUGAGGGCGUAUUGUGGGAACAAAGCUACGUGCUGCUCCUCGCUGCACCUCCUCUUGCUUCCCCAACCACGCUGAACUUAAAUCUUCCAUUUCUGCUGCUACGCAGCGAGCAGUUUUUGAUACCCUUCGCGCCCCACAGGACGCGUAGAAACAGGAAACGCUGAGCAGAAACGUUCGGCGCUUGCAUCAGUCCUCGGGCUGGUCAAAAAGCCAAGGAACUUCCGAGGGAAGGAAAUCGUUGGGGGGUGCUUUAGAGAAAGCUGCAGGGCCGGCUGGAAAAAGGCUUCAGAAUCACAAGGCGGCGCCGCACGAGCAGCAGGCUCCCACAACACGGCGGGAGGAACCUGAUGCAGCCCUCGGCUGCACCUAAAUUUGACGGCGCACGUUCGUGGACUCCUGUUUGCAAAACCACCUUUGCUUUUGUCAAGUCCGAGGAUCGGGAAUCGUUCCGGUGCUCCGUCACCCUCACCGUGAAAAAGUUUCGCCCCCUAUUUAAGCGGAACCUCUUCUGUCCCAGCUCGCACCCACUGCCCCUCGUCCUGUCACUGGGUGUCACCGAGAAGAGCCCGGCUCCCUCCUCCUGACACUCGCCCUGUGCCUAUUUAGAAAUGUUAACCAGGUCACCCCUCGCUCUCCCCUUCCCCGAGCUGAAGAGCCCCAGCUCCCCUCAGCUUCUCCUUGUAAGGGAGAUGCUCCGCUCCCCUCAUCACUUGGGGACCGAAAAGCCCCCAAGGCAAAACCGUACGGCGGUGCACACAAAGAAACGCAAGGCCGGGGCGGGAGGGAGCCCCAGCCCCGCGUUUCUCACGAACUGAGGUUCGAGUCAGGGUUACAAUUAACAAUUAAGUUCGACAAUUAAGCCGAGAGGGUUCCAACAAACUACGGGGGGGGGAAACGGAAAGCCUGAGAGCUCGGAGCUGGUCCAGACGAGACCUGGAUGUCCCCGCGUCGCGCCGCCACGUAGCCCACGCCUGCUCCGUCAGCGACUUGCUGCUGCUUUUUUU
ensembl:lncRNA